AUUAAGACUUUGAUGAGAAGUAGUAGUUUUACCUGAAGUUGGAAGAGAACGGAAUCCACUGGCUGUAAGAUUCCGGCAGCGUCAAAAAAUGAAGUCGUCUCAGAGUUUUACCGAUGAAGCAGAAUGCUGAGUUAGAGAAUUCUGUGGGUAGUUGGUAACGGCACAGCAGUCGUUAAUUAAUGAGAGCUUUCUUAAUAAAAGGAAGAACUAAGGUGGUACCGCGAAUAAACUCUUCGUCCUUAUG
rnacentral:ncRNA from 1 species